rnacentral:rRNA from 1 species
AUUGAACGCUGGCGGAAUGCUUUACACAUGCAAGUCGAACGGCAGCACGGACUUCGGUCUGGUGGCGAGUGGCGAGCGGGUGAGUAAUGUAUCGGAACGUGCCCAGUCGUGGGGGAUAACGUAGUGAAAAUUACGCUAAUACCGCAUACGAUCUAUGGAUGAAAGCGGGGGAUCGCAAGACCUCGCGCGAUUGGAGAGGCCGAUAUCAGAUUAGGUAGUUGGUGGGGUAAAGGCCCACCAAGCCAACGAUCCGUAGCUGGUCUGAGAGGACGACCAGCCACACUGGAACUGAGACACGGUCCAGACUCCUACGGGAGGCAGCAGUGGGGAAUUUUGGACAAUGGGCGAAAGCCUGAUCCAGCCAUUCCGCGUGCAGGAUGAAGGCCCUCGGGUUGUAAACUGCUUUUGUACAGAACGAAAAGGUUUCUACUAAUACUAGGAGCUCAUGACGGUACUGUAAGAAUAAGCACCGGCUAACUACGUGCCAGCCGCCGCCGUAA